rnacentral:lncRNA from 1 species
CUUUGACAGCCCAUCAGCAUCCCUCAUAUCCAGAGCUAGUCAGAAGUAUUUCAGUCAAAACUAGUUUGGGGAAAAUGCUGAUAAUUUGAAACAUGGAUUUCUCCCAGGAAUGUAUCAAUUUGAGUAAUACUUUCAUUUGGAAGGUUUCUUAGAUGCAGGAUUGUAUUGAAUUGGAUUUCUGCCUUGAUCCAGAGAGGCACUUUAUAAUCUACCUCGGGCCAGGAGGUCUAAUUAUGGAAGAUGCUGAAGUGGGAUCCGGGAAGGCUGCGUUCAGAGUCCUGCUGUUUGCGGCUGUUGACCGUUCCGAGGCAAUGGAAUUGGUUUUUACUUCGCUCUGAAUUUUAUGGUUAGACGUUCCCCGUCAGCGACCCACACCGGUGAGGGGACAGGGGCCACAAGAGCUGGAAGGGCAGCCGGGGAGAGAGAGAGUGCUGCUGCUUUCUUUUCUCCUUGCUCGGUGCCUACGAGCAAAAGCAACACUGCAGCGACACAACACGAGAGCAGCUCUAAGGAAACGCUCCUGCGAACAAGCRUAAAUGCCUCGAAAAACGUGCUGCUGCCGGAGAGCCGAGAGGCCCUGGGUGAGGCUCAGAAAGRAGCAGAACCUCUGUGUUUCAGCUGAGUUUCUCUAAUAGAGAWGCCACCGUGCUUUUUCACCAGAACUGUGUGAAACCCCCGGGUGUGUCGGAACAGAAGGAGCCCUGUCUCGGAGGCACACAGGUACGCUGCUUCUCUGGUUUGCUGACUAG